AACGCGAAGAACCUUACCUGGCCUUGACAUGUCGAGAACUUACCAGAGAUGGUUUGGUGCUCGAAAGAGAACCUGCACACAGGUGCUGCAUGGCUGUCGUCAGCUCGUGUCGUGAGAUGUUGGGUUAAGUCCCGCAACGAGCGCAACCCUUGAUCUUAGUUGCCAGCGGUUCGGCCGGGAACUCAAAGGAGACUGCCAGUGACAAACCGGAGGAAGGUGGGGAUGACGUCAAAUCAUCAUGCCCCUUAUGACCUGGGCUACACACGUGCUACAAUGGAUGGUACAAAGGGCUGCAAGACCGCGAGGUUUAGCCAAUCCCAUAAAACCAUUCUCAGUUCGGAUUGUAGGCUGCAACUCGCCUACAUGAAGCCGGAAUCGCUAGUAGUCGCGAAUCAGAAUGCCGCGGUGAAUACGUUCCCGGGCCUUGUACA
rnacentral:rRNA from 1 species